UUCGAAGAAGAGGGGGUAUAUUGUUUUGCUCAUGUCUGUCCAUAUGUCUGUUCACCAGAUGGUUUCCGAAUGAUAAGUCAAGAAUGCUUAGGCCUAGGAUCAUGAAACUUCAUAGGUACAGUGAUCAUGACUCGCAGAUGACCCCUAUUGAUUUUGAGGUCACUAGGUCUAAGGUCAAGGUCACGGUGACCCGAAAUAGUAGAAUGGUUUCCGGAUGAUAACUCAAGAACGCUUACGCCUAGGAUCAUGAAACUUCAUAGGUACAUUGAUCAUGACUCGCAGAUGACCCCUAUUGAUUUUGAGGUCACUAGGUCAAAGGUCAAGGUCACGGUGACCCGAAAUAGUAAAAUGGUUUCUGGAUGAUAACUCAAGAACGCUUAUGCCUAGGAUCAUGAAACUUCAUAGGUACAUUGAUCAUGACUUGCAGAUGACCCCUAUUGAUUUUCAGGUCACUAGGUCAAAGGUCAAGGUGACCCGAAAUAGUAAAAUGGUUUCCGGAUGAUUACUCAAGAACGCUUAUGCUUAGGAUCAUGAAACUUCAUAGGUACAUUGAUCAUGACUUGCAGAUGACCUCUAUUGAUUUUCAGGUCACUAGGUCAAAGGUCAAGGUCACGGUGACUCAACUUAGAAAAAUGGUUUCGGGAUGAUAACUCAAGAAUGCUUACGCCUAGGAUCAUGAAACUUCAUAGGUACAUUGAGGUGACCCAAAAUAGUAAAAUUGUUUUACUCAAGAACGCUUAUGCCUAGGAUCAUGAAACUUCAUAGGUACAUUGAUCAUGACUUGCAGAUGACCCCUAUUGAUUUUCAGGUCACUAGGUCAAAGGUCAAGGUGUUUCAACUUAGAAAAAUGGUUUCCAGAUUAUAACUCAAGAAGGCCUUUGCCUAGGAUCAUGAAACUUCAUGGGUACAUUGAUCAUGACUUGCAGAUGACCCGUAUUGACUUUCAGGUCACUAGGUCAAGGUCACGGUUACUUGACACAGUAAAAUGGUUUUUGGAUGAUAACUCAAGAAAGCUUACGCCUAGGAUCAUGAAACAAUAUAAUGGUCAAGUUGAUUGAAUUUUCUUAUUAAAUCAAUCAAAAAUGG